UGAAUACGAGAUGCUACGGCGUCGAAGCAGUCUAUGUCAUACUUCCAAGAAAAGCUUGCACUGUCAUAAACAAAUAAUGCCUGUACCAUAACCGACACAGGUGGGUAGGUAGAGUAUACUAAGGGGCGCGAGAUAACUCUCUCUAAGGAACUCGGCAAAAUGACUCCGUAACUUCGGGAGAAGGAGUGCCUUAUUUAUAAGGUUGCAAUAACAAGAUCCAAGCAACUGUUUACCAAAAACACAGGUCUCCGCUAAGUCGUAAGACGAUGUAUGGGGGCUGACGCCUGCCCAGUGCCAGAAGGUUAAAGAAGUUGGUUAGCAUCCGCGAAGCUGAUAACUGAAGCCCUGGUGAACGGCGGCCGUAACGAUAACGGUCCUAAGGUAGCGAAAUUCCUUGUCGGGUAAGUUCCGACCCGCACGAAAGGCGUAAUGAUUUGGAUACUGUCUCGGAGAGGGGCUCGGUGAAAUAGACUUGUCUGUGAAGAUGCGGACUACCUGCACCAGGACAGAAAGACCCUAUGAAGCUUUACUGUAACCUGAAAUUGAAAUUGGACUUUACUUGCGCAGUAUAGGUGGGAGGCGUUGAGAAUAUUCUUGCGGGAUUAUUGGAGCCAUCAGUGAGAUACCACUCUUGUAAUGUUAGAUUUCUAACUUUGUAUCAUUAUCUGGUCAAAGAACAGUUUCAGGCGGGCAGUUUGACUGGGGCGGUCGCCUCCUAAACGGUAACGGAGGCGCACAAAGGUUUCCUCUGAACGGGUAGAAAUCGUAUCUAGAGUGUAAAGGCAUAAGGAAGCUUGACUGUGAGACCUACAAGUCGAGCAGGGACGAAAGUCGGUCUUAGUGAUCUGACGGUGCUGAGUGGAAAGGCCGUCACUCAACGGAUAAAAGUUACUCUAGGAUAACAGGCUGAUCUCCCCCAAGAGUUCACAUCGACGGGGAGGUUUGGCACCUCGAUGUCGGCUCAUCGCAUCCUGGGGCGGUAGUACGUCCCAAGGGUUGGGCUGUUCGCCCAUGAAAGCGGUACGCGAGCUGGGUUCAGAACGUCGUGAGACAGUUCGGUCCAUAUCCGGUGUAGGCGUUAGAAUAUUGAGAGGAGCCUUCUUUAGUACGAGAGGACCGAGAAGGACAUACCUCUGGUGUACCAGUUAUCGUGCCAACGGUAAGCGCUGGGUAGCUAUGUGUGGAGUGGAUAACCGCUGAAAGCAUCUAAGUGGGAAGCCCACCUCAAGAUAAG
rnacentral:rRNA from 1 species